GUAGUCAUAUGCUUGUCUCAAAGCUUAAGCCAUGCAAGUCUCAGUACAAGCCGAACUAAGGCGAAACCGCAAACGGCUCAUUAAAUCAGUUUUAGUUCACUUGAGCGAAAACUAUCAGUUUAAGGAUAACUGUGGCAAUUCUAGAGCUAAUACAUGCAACCGAGUCCCGACCAGCGAUGGAAAGGACGCUUUUAUUAGAUCAAAACCAAUCGGGGUUCGCGCCCCGUUGAACUUGAUGACUCUGAAUAACACACCGGAUCGCACGGUCUCAGUGCCGGCGACCCAUCUUUCAAAUGCCUGACUUAUCAACUGUCGAUGGUAGAUUCUACGUCUACCAUGGUUGUAACGGGUGACGGGGAAUCAGGGUUCGAUUCCGGAGAGGGAGCCUGAGAAACGGCUACCACAUCCAAGGAAGGCAGCAGGCACGCAAAUUACCCACUCCCGGCACGGGGAGGUAGUGACAAAAAAUAACGAUACGGGACUCAUCCGAGGCCCCGUAAUCGGAAUGAGAACACUCUAAAUCAUUUAACAAGGACCUAUUGGAGGGCAAGUCUGGUGCCAGCAGCCGCGGUAAUUCCAGCUCCAAUAGCGUAUAUUAAAGUUGUUGCGGUUAAAAAGCUCGUAGUUGGUUCUGCGUCCCACGCUGUCGGUUCACCGCCUGUCGGUGCAACUGGCACGCCGUGGGAUGUCCUGUCGGUGGCGGCCGCGGCCCGGCGUGUCGAGCCGAGGCCCCUAGCGGGGCCGAAGCCCUCACCCGGGUACCGGUCGCCGAACUAAUCCUGCCGCGGUGCUCUUAACUGAGUGUCGAGGUAGGCCGACACGUUUACUUUGAACAAAUUAGAGUGCUCAAAGCAGGCUGAAUCCCGCCUGAAUAGUGGUGCAUGGAAUAAUUGAAUAGGACCUCGGUUCUAUUUUGUUGGUUUUCGGAAUCCGAGGUAAUGAUCAAUACGGACAGGCGGGGGCAUUCGUAUUGCGGCGUUAGAGGUGAAAUUCUUGGAUCGUCGCAAGACGGACUAGAGCGAAAGCAUUUGCCAAGUAUGUCUUAGUUGAUCAAGAACGAAAGUUAGAGGUUCGAAGGCGAUCAGAUACCGCCCUAGUUCUAACCAUAAACGAUGCCAGCCAGCGAUCCGCCGAUGUUCCUCCGAUGACUCGGCGGGCAGCUUCCGGGAAACCAAAGCUUUUGGGUUCCGGGGGAAGUAUGGUUGCAAAGCUGAAACUUAAAGGAAUUGACGGAAGGGCACCACCAGGAGUGGAGCCUGCGGCUUAAUUUGACUCAACACGGGGAACCUCACCAGGCCCGGACAUUGGAAGGAUUGACAGAUUGAUAGCUCUUUCUUGAUUCAAUGGGUAGUGGUGCAUGGCCGUUCUUAGUUGGUGGAACGAUUUGUCUGGUUAAUUCCGAUAACGAACGAGACUCUAGCCUGCUAAAUAGGCGUUUCCGGUAUCCAAUGCUACCGGCGUCUCAAUUUCUUCUUAGAGGGACAGGCGGCUUUUAGCCGCACGAGAUUGAGCAAUAACAGGUCUGUGAUGCCCUUAGAUGUUCUGGGCCGCACGCGCGCUACACUGAAGGAAUCAGCGUGUUUCCCCCUGGUCCGAAAGGGCCGGGCAACCCGCUGAACCUCCUUCGUGCUAGGAAUUGGGGAUUGCAAUUGUUCCCCAUGAACGAGGAAUUCCCAGUAAGCGCGGGUCAUGAGCUCGCGUUGAUUACGUCCCUGCCCUUUGUACACACCGCCCGUCGCUACUACCGAUUGAAUGAUUUAGUGAGGUCUUCGGACUGGUGGUGUGCGGCAACCGCUCCGGCGGUGCCGCUGUCACCGGGAAGAUGACCGAACUUGAUCAUUUAGAGGAAGUAAAAGUCGUAACAAGGUUUUCGUGGGUGAACCUGCAGAAGGAUC
rnacentral:rRNA from 1 species